AGCGAACGCUGGCGGCGUGCUUAACACAUGCAAGUCGAACGAGAACGGAUUAUAGCUUGCUAUAAUUGUCAGCUAAGUGGCGCACGGGUGAGUAAUGUAUAGGUAAUAUGCCUCUUACUAAGGGAUAACAAAUGGAAACGUUUGCUAAUACCUUAUACUCCUUAUUAACAUAAGUUAAUAAGAGAAAGAUUUAUUGGUAAGAGAUUAGCCUGUAUUGUAUCAGUUAGUUGGUGGGGUAAUGGCUUACCAAGACUAUGACACAUAACUGGUUUGAGAGGAUGAUCAGUCACACUGGAACUGAGACACGGUCCAGACUCCUACGGGAGGCAGCAGUGGGGAAUAUUGCACAAUGGACGAAAGUCUGAUGCAGCAACGCCGCGUGGAGGAUGACACAUUUCGGUGCGUAAACUCCUUUUAUAUGAGAAGAUAAUGACGGUAUUAUAUGAAUAAGCACCGGCUAACUCCGUGCCAGCCGCCGCAGUAA
rnacentral:rRNA from 1 species